rnacentral:lncRNA from 10 species
GUCGGCCCUUCUUUGUCCUGGUGGACGGCCUAAGGCCGAGGUGUCCGACCCGGGACCGAGUGUCCCUGUCACAGGAGACUGGCUGACACCUGCAUGCAGUUUAUUCCAGCCAAGACAGCCACGCCAAAGGACCACGCCGACGGGAGGAGAGAAAGGCAUCAUCACAUUUUAUGAAUGACAGAUGGCUUUUACCACACCUUUGCAUGAUCGCUUAUGGUAAUAGGACUGCGGUGCCCUGAGACGUGGGGAUCUGCGUGAGUGCCCCCGGCAAAGUCUGCUCUUCCGGCCUCGAAUCUGGAUCCCAGAGUCUUGCUCUGUGGCCCAGGCUGGAGUACAAUGGCGUGAUCUCAGCUCACUGCAACCUCCGCCUCCUGGAUUCAAGUGAUUCUCCUGCCUCAGCCUCCUGAGUAGCUGGGAUUAUAGGCGCGCGCCACCACGCCUGGCUAAUUUUUGUAAUUUUAGUAGAGACAGUGUUUCACCAUGUUGGUCAGGCUGGUCUCGAACUCCUGACCUCAUGAUCCACCCAUCUCGGCCUCCGGAAGUGCUGGGAUUACAGGGGUGAGCCAGCACGCCCGGCGGAUUUAUAUUUGUAAAAUCAGCUCUGCUCUGCUAAACAAAUAAUUAAAGAAAAGGUGAACAC